rnacentral:rRNA from 1 species
AUACGUAGGUGACAAGCGUUAUCCGGAUUUACUGGGCGUAAAGGGCGUGUAGGCGGUCUUGCAAGUCAGAAGUGAAAUUCCUGAGCUCAACUCGGGCGCUGCUUCUGAAACUGCAGGACUUGAGUGCUGGAGGGGAUAGCGGAAUUCCUAGUGGAGCGGUAAAAUGCGCAGAUAUUAGGAAUAACACCGGUGGCGAAGGCGGCGUUCUGUACAGUACCUUACGUUGAUGCGCGAAAGCGUGGGGAGAAAACAGGAUUAGAUACCCUGGGAUUCCACGCCGUAAACGAUGAAUACUAGGUGUAGGGGGUACCGACUCCCUCUGUGCCGCAGUUAACACAAUAAGUAUUCCGCCUUGGGAGUACGGCCUCAAGGUUGAAACUCACAUGAAUUGACGGGG